AUUGAACGCUGGCGGCAGGCCUAACACAUGCAAGUCGAGCGAGCGGCGGACGGGUGAGUAAUGUCUGGGAAUCUGCCCGAUGGAGGGGGAUAACUACUGGAAACGGUAGCUAAUACCGCAUACUAUCAGAUGUGCCCAUAUGGGAUUAGCUAGUAGGUGGGGUAAAGGCUCACCUAGGCGACGAUCCCUAGCUGGUCUGAGAGGAUGACCAGCAACACUGGAACGGAGACACGGUCCAGACUCCUAAGGGAGGCAGCAGUGGGGAAUAUUGCACAAUGGGAGCAAGCCUGAUGCAGCCAUGCCGCGUGUAUGAAGAAGGCCUUAGGGUUGUAAAGCACUUUCAGCGAGGAGGCGUUACUCGCAGAAGAAGCACCGGCUAACUCCGUGCCAGCAGCCGCGGUAAUAC
rnacentral:rRNA from 1 species